rnacentral:lncRNA from 1 species
UUAAUAUUGCUCUAGAGCCUUCAGACUCACUAUGAAUCAAGGCCCACAAUUAUCCCUGUGAUGUAGGGCUCAUGAGCUAGGGGCAUUCUCUAACCUGAGCGAUGCAAGCUUCUCAUACCCAAAGAGUGGCUGGCUCAUGAAAGACGUAAAAGUACACACACCCAGCCGGGACAGACCCAGAAGAAGGGUGGGCUGGAUGGCUCUGGAUUUCCCAGCCCCAUGCAGUCAAAAUGGUUUAGGUUAUCUGGGACAGUUAACUUCAGACUGCCUAGGAAACCUCGCUCUGUUAUACGGUCCCCUAAGUAAGUAGGGUAACGUCCAAAAUUGGGCUCCCAAAAGGCUAUAUCAGGCAAGAGGCAUUUGGGUGUGUAAAUGCUAAUUCAUGUUACUACAUAACACCAAUUCAAUGAAUCACAAGAAAAUAUUUUCUUUUACCUUGAGAGAAAUAAUUUGCAAGGCUUUUGCAAGCUCUCUAUCCCAUUGAGCUUCACAGUGAAAUCAAUGCAGUUGGUAUUCUUGGUGUCCUUGGGAAGUUAAAGGAAAGGCUCAGAAAGGCCUAGUCUGGUUGACUGCUGAAGUGUUCGUCAUUCUUGCCUUAUUUAAAUUAAGUCAAAAAUCAUUUAAUGUGCCUUGACUAGCUUUCUUUGACUGUAAUAAAUAUCUGAUAACCACCUUAUAGACAGGAAAGGUACACUCCAUCUCCUAGGCUCAGGUUCCAGCCCACAGACAAAUAAUCCCGUUGCUCUGGGCCUGUGACAAGCCAGCAGGUCACACACGGCAAGAGUCAAACCAAUACAUCCCACUGGGAUGUGAAAGAGGAAGAAUUUGAUGAAAGGGUUAGAACCCCAUAAUUACCUUUCUAUAGUAAUUCUUCAAGGGCCUGCAACACACAAGGCUUGGGGGACACUUAAGAUCCAAAAUACAGCAGAUUGUGAGGGAGUAACUGGCCAUAUGCUUGUUAAGGCCUGAUGGCUUAUUUUUCUUAGGGACUUCAGCCCUAGAACACAAUCAGCCCUGAGUCAGCCCAGCCCAAUCUGCUGUCUGGCAACACUUGGGAGGUUCAUGGAUUUCUCCUAAUUAGUCACAAGAGUUUGUGGCCAACAGUGGUCUCUUGGGGCAACCUAAAACAACAGGGAAAGAGUAUAUGGAACCCUAUAAGGUGGUUUUCGAUCUAGGCAGCUGGCAGCCUUCUUUUCUAAGUGGCCCUGGCUCUGAAUACAGGCAUCAGAUUUCCUGGAUGCUAAGUAGCUGGCUCUUCAGCACCCAAGAGUUGUGCUCAAGUGGUCUCUAGAGCCACUGAGACUGUCCCCAGCAGAGAAGACUUAAGCAAUUGGCUCAUCAGCCCAGGCCAGGAUGCCCAAAGGAAUGGUACCCAGUCCAAGGCCUUAAAUUCCCACAGCUAGACCUCGGCUCCUCCAAGAAGCUCCUCUGCCAAACCUGAACAGUCCUAUACAAAGCAUUGAGGCCAUAGGCCCAAGGGAGCUUUCCCCACCAACAUAGCUGGAGUUCUUCCCCAAAGUCCUCUUCUCUGUACCCAGGCUUCACAUCCCCAAGUGCCCUCUAGAAAAAGAAGGGAACACUUGUAUGAUGAGAAUCUGAACAGGCAAAAAUUUCCAGACAACGUGGUCAAGCCCGGUUGUUUGGCUGCUGCUGUGGUGGUGGGGGUGUGUUGUUUUGUUCUAGUCAGAGCUAGUAUAGAUCCUGGAUGAGACACAGACUGAAAUGAAAUGAUACAAAAAUAUGACUGUGUUUUCCCAAUAGAAGCUACUUAGAUAAGAGCUGCUACUGUUCACUGAGAACUGAUUGUCAAGAAUUAUUCGAGGGGUUUUACAUGCAUUAUCUUGCCGGAUGCAGAAUGAAGUUAUCUCACUUGAUGUAUACAAGCCAACUUCCGUAUCUAUAAUUCUCCACUGGCAGACUCAGCCAACUGAGGAUUGGGAAUAGUUGAAACAAAAUUGUGCCUGUGCUGAAUACAUUCAGCCUUCUUUUUCAGGUCCUUAUUCCCCAAAUAAUACAAUAUCACAACUACUUAUGCAACGCUUACCUUGCUUGCUAUAUAAGAGAUGCAUAGAGGAUUUGAAGCAAAGGAGAACUGUAUGUUACAAUGUAACAUAUGAAACAUACACAGGCCAUCUGUAACAAAGCCCAGAGAGGCUCAUUCUUUUCCACAGCACAGAGAACUAUCACAGUGACAGUGCUUUCUAUACUGUAAAUACUUUACAUAGAUUAUGGGAUCUCACCACCAAUUCAAAUAAAGUGCUGUUAUGUACCCCCACAUACAAGGAAGGAAUCAAGUUGACCAAGGCUUCAUGGUUUGCCCAAGGUCACACUGCUAAGUGACAAAAAGACCAAAGCCUGGACCCAGACUUAGACUAUCCCCUCAUCCCCAUACUCUGCUUAUGAUAAGCUUCAGGUGCAAAAACAGACACGGAAAAGCCAAUUCACUUGUACAGACUCCAUCCACUAGGAGGCUAUACGGAUACAUCAGGAUGGUCCACACGAUUAAACGAUUAAAUGUGUAAUGGUGCACACCUUAGGGGGAAAAGGAGUUGAAAGACCGCCAUUCUCAUCUACAAAGUAAGUGCUGAGCCAACCUAGAUACAUGAGAUCCUGUCCAAAGAAAAUGGACCUUCACUCAAGAAGCUGACACUGCUGUAAAUUCAAGGCCUGCUGGGGAUGUAUAGCAAGACCCUGUCUCAAAAGUAGUCAGAUCCUGCCUCUAAAGUAGUCAGUAAAAUUAAAAAUGUGAGGUAGAUCCAUGGGCCCAGGCUCCCUGCUGUCCUGUCUCAUAGGUAGGUCCAGGGGCAUCCAGGGCAGAAACUAGGCAAAACCCAGGGCAAUGUCCGCUUGACAGAACCAAGACUUUUUUCUUGUGUUAUUAGUUGAGACCACUACAAACCCAAGGAACAAUAAUUUGAAGUUCUUCUUCCCAACCUGAAUGUUGUAUAUUAAUCAUGUUGCUCAGGUUCAGGAAAUGACCCCAGAGUGAGUAAGAUUCAACAGGACAGAUGGCUCAUCAGUCAAGAGCACUGGCUGCUCUUCCAGAAGACCCGAGUUCAAUUCCCGGCACCCAUGUGGCAGCGCAAAACUGUCUGUACCUCUAUUCCAGGGAAUCCAACACCUUCACACAGAUACACAAGCGGGCAAAACACCAAUGCACAUGAAACAAAAAUAAAUUAUUUUUUUAAAGAUUUAUUUAUUUAUUAUAUGUAAGUACACUGUAGAUGUCUUCAGACACUCCAGAAGAGGGUGUCAGAUCUUGUUAGGAUGGUUGUGAGCCACCAUGUGGUUGCUGGGAUUUGAACUCAGGACCUUUGGAAUAGCAGUCGGUGCUCUUAACCACUAAGCCAUCUCUCCAUCCCCAGUAAAUUAUUUUUUAAAAAGAUUCUGUGCCCUCAUUCUCUGGGUAAGGAUGCUCCAGACACACAGAUGGUACAUUACAGAGUCAAGGUGAAAGUGCAGGUACCCAGAUGGGAGCAAUGGCAUCAUACCAGGCAUGGCUUCCUCCAGCUGUGUGGAUUUAGUUCCAAGAAGACAUAUCACUGUACUUGUCUGGAGCCUGGUCCACAGAAAAUAUGCCACACUCUGUCAAACUUGAGGGCCUAAGACACAAAAGUUCUAUCAGGGGCCAUGAUAGCCUCAUGGGUAUUCAGUAUUCCUGAGCACCGCCCUGAAUUCUGUAUGACUGAUUUUAGCACCUGUCGGAGGUGGCUUCUAAAUUUAGACCUGACAUUGGAGGCGGUCUGUUGCACAAAUGUAUAUUUCCUCAGGAACAGUUGUCAGAAACAGUAAAACUGACACAAAACAACUGUCUCUUCACACCUUGGCAACAGUGGGCUGUGAAGCCAGAGGACCACAAACAAACAAGUCAUCCCACUCCGCAAAGCUCACUCUAGCUGUCAGGGCCUGUCCAUACUUGCGGAGGAGGGUGCAUGUACAUGCGUGAGAGGGGAUGUCUAUGUAUACACACAUGCACGUGAAGGCCAGUGGGAAAGCUCAGGCAUUGUGCCUGUCCUUGCUCCACUGCCCUUGCCCUGCUCCACUGAUCCUGCAGUUUUCCCAGGAGGGGCGGAAGAAGCUACUGCUGUCCACUGAGCCCCAGAGACAUGUCUGUCUCCAUUCCCCCAGGCCCUACUGUUGAGAUUGCAAACACCACUGAUCAUAUCCAGCUUUUCAAAUUUUUAAUAUAGACUCUGGGGAUUGAACUUGGGUCCUCAAGCUUGCGCGCAGACAUUACACCGAUCUAUUACUCCAGCCGGGGUUCGUAACUUUUUUUUUUUUUAGUAGAACUCCUAAGGAGUCUCCAUUUUUAAUCCCACUUGUCAAUAUAGUCCCCUAGGCCCUUCAUCCUCUCUAGAGGUUUGUCAUCAACUAAUUGGGAGCCUGAGUCAUUGCUCAUUUGGGGUGCUAAAACGCACUCUAUGUGAUAAAGCCACCUUGGUAGAAGAUACAGCUUAAUUUUAAUCAUCUCCUUUGCGUUCCAAUUAGUUGCUUAUAUCCAAUUUCACACGUGUCCCCUCUACUCCGAACACUCUGCUGUGCUAGACAGAUGGAGGAAUCUUACUAACAUCAACUUAACAGAGGGGACACCACGGGGCCAUAAAGAGGUGAGGCACAUGGUACAUACUUACACAUAACUUUCAUGAAAGCACCUCAACUGCCCUUGCCUAGAACAGACCCAGAAAAAAGAAGAAAAAACAAAAUUACCCUUAUGCCCUGAAACUUUCCAUUCUCGAUCUCAACCCAAAGGUGACUUUUUUUAUUUUUAAACUGAAGCC